CGGGUCGUCGGCCAUCAGCGCCAGGCACUGCUCCAGGACGGCUUUGGUGAUGUUAUAUCCCGGCGGCAGUGAGCGGAAAAUCUCGUGGGACGACAGCGGCUGUGUGUGCGCAGCGCCCGACGCCGUGGUGACCUCUGACAUCCGCAGCAUCGUCCGAACGAUCUCACUGCUGGGCUGGUCCAUGCGGUUGGCCACGGCGCUGACGAUGGCCUGGUCUCGGAAGUGCUGAUGGAAGCGCUCCAUGUUCACUUGCCAAUAAAUACCAUCGUCGGGGGGGGGCUCCGCACCGCCCGCGUCCGACUUCGGCUUCUUCGCCCUG
rnacentral:lncRNA from 1 species